GUACUGCUGAAGAUUCUCAAACUAGGACGAAACAGCUGUCCAGUAC
rnacentral:hammerhead_ribozyme from 1 species